rnacentral:rRNA from 1 species
UACGAAGGGGGCUAGCGUUGCUCGGAAUGACUGGGCGUAAAGGGCGCGUAGGCGGUGCAUUUGGUCAGGCGUGAAAUUCCUGGGCUUAACCUGGGGACUGCGCUUGAGACGGGUGUGCUGGAGGGCAGGAGAGGCUCGCGGAAUUCCCAGUGUAGAGGUGAAAUGCGUAGAUAUUGGGAGGAACACCAGUGGCGAAGGCGGCUACCUGGACCGGUUCUGACGCUGAUGCGCGAAAGCGUGGGUAGCAAACAGG